CGCAAAAUUGCAAAACCAACGGUUAUUACGGCAAAAGCCGUCUACCAAAUGUUAGAGAUUUACUUUGUACAGAAUAAAAUAUGGAUCUAAAUCGCUGUGUCAAUC